AAAUUGAGAUUUGCGUAGAGGUUCUACCAGUUUCUUUCAUUUAGGGCAUGCUUGUUUCAGCGAAACUAGACUUUGGAUUGAAGUGGACUUUGGAUUGAACUGGAGUUCGAUGAAAACUACUUCUUCCCUACUGUUUGUUUUGUAGUUAUGAAAGUGAAGUUCCAUCAGUUCUGUUGUUUGUUUGGUAGGAAGUAUAUAAUAUAAAGCUAUAAUUUAUAUAUAGAUAAUAAAUAUUUUAAUAAAUAAAAAUAAUAUAAUUAUAUUUUUUAUAAUUAAAAUUUAAUUUAAUUAUGCCGUUUGAGAUUAACUCGAGUUUCGACCGUAACUUUUUUACGACGAGUCAAAUAACGGAAAUGAUCGUUUAGGACGAAAACGACUUUCCUCCCUUCCACUUUCACCUCAUUUCCAUUCAAACAAACAUGCCUUAGAGUCUGUUUGGUUAGCGAAAGUUUUGAGCGUC
rnacentral:lncRNA from 1 species